rnacentral:rRNA from 1 species
UACGUAGGGUGCAAGCGUUAAUCGGAAUUACUGGGCGUAAAGCGUGCGCAGGCGGUUUUUUAAGACAGAGGUGAAAUCCCCGGGCUCAACCUGGGAACUGCAUUUGUGACUGUAGAGCUGGAGUACGGCAGAGGGGGAUGGAAUUCCGCGUGUAGCAGUGAAAUGCGUAGAUAUGCGGAGGAACACCGAUGGCGAAGGCAAUCCCCUGGGCCUGUACUGACGCUCAUGCACGAAAGCGUGGGGAGCAAACAGG